rnacentral:piRNA from 1 species
UCCCUCAGUAGGUGCCCCCCAGGAAGGUAU